rnacentral:rRNA from 1 species
UCGGAUGGAAUCAGUAUAACUUAAUGGCGGACGGGUGAGUAACGCGUGGGAAACCUGCCCUGUACCGGGGGAUAACACUUAGAAAUAGGUGCUAAUACCGCAUAAGCGCACGGAACCGCAUGGUUCUGUGUGAAAAACUCCGGUGGUACAGGAUGGUCCCGCGUCUGAUUAGCCAGUUGGCAGGGUAACGGCCUACCAAAGCGACGAUCAGUAGCCGGCCUGAGAGGGUGAACGGCCACAUUGGGACUGAGACACGGCCCAAACUCCUACGGGAGGCAGCAGUGGGGAAUAUUGCACAAUGGGGGAAACCCUGAUGCAGCGACGCCGCGUGAGUGAAGAAGUAUUUCGGUAUGUAAAGCUCUAUCAGCAGGGAAGAAAAUGACGGUACCUGACUAAGAAGCCCCGGCUAACUACGUGCCAGC